rnacentral:rRNA from 1 species
GAUGAACGCUGGCGGCGUGCCUAAUACAUGCAAGUCGAGCGAACAGACGAGGAGCUUGCUCCUCUGACGUUAGCGGCGGACGGGUGAGUAACACGUGGAUAACCUACCUAUAAGACUGGGAUAACUUCGGGAAACCGGAGCUAAUACCGGAUAAUAUAUUGAACCGCAUGGUUCAAUAGUGAAAGACGGUUUUGCUGUCACUUAUAGAUGGAUCCGCGCCGCAUUAGCUAGUUGGUAAGGUAACGGCUUACCAAGGCAACGAUGCGUAGCCGACCUGAGAGGGUGAUAGGCCACACGGGAACUGAGACACGGUCCAGACUCCUACGGGAGGCAGCAGUAGGGAAUCUUCCGCAAUGGGCGAAGGCCUGACGGAGCAACGCCGCGUGAGUGAUGAAGGUCUUCGGAUCGUAAAACUCUGUUAUUAGGGAAGAACAAAUGUGUAAGUAACUAUGCACGUCUUGACGGUACCUAAUCAGAAAGCCACGGCUAACUACGUG